GGAGCAGGGGCCAGCGACCCACGUCUACAUGCAUACUUCUCUUACACUGCUGCUACUGGAAAAGCUGAACCCCGCGCCAGGACCCCAGCCCCCUGCAAGGACCCGUGAGCGUCUGGGAAGCUGUCUCUGGGACUGAAGCCCCCCACCUCCGCCGGGCUGGCGGCCACUGCGGUACCCUACGCCCCGUCGGGCUGGUCCUGCACAAUUUGGGAAAAAGCCGCAGCGCUUCUGCAAGGUCUACGUGGCCAUGAGCAUGCAACGCUUGGCUCCAAAAAAGACACGAAAGGAGCAAAGCGCCAACGACCACCCGAUCGGAGGGCCCGAGGGGCGCCUCUUCACCAGUCAGCUGCAGCUUAAGUUCCGUGCAUUAUCUGAAAGGAACAGCUGGCUGGAGGUAUCCAGGGCUGUCACUCCAACCUCUGCAGCAGUGACCUCAACUCCCAGCACUUCAAAACCCAGACAGAAACGUCCAACAAACUCCCAGUCCAGGAGCGCUGCAAAACCAACGCCAGUUGUUUUUCUGCAGAAAAUCAUCAACUGUGGAGAAGAAGAAGGGAAAUAAGAAAGAAAGAAAACCCUAAAAACCACCCUGGCGCCCGGGCCCGCAGGCCUCGGGCCGGCUCUGAAAAGUUUGGGCUGUGCACGUGAUGAGCGCGUAGGCGGGAGCCCCAGACAGGACCCGGGCGGGCAUUUCGAGAAAAAGCAGCGGUGACAGCCUUUGGUCCCCAUCUCCAUUGUUCCUGCCAGCUCUGGACCCCAGGCUGCAUGAGACGUAGGUCCCAGGGGACACCCGACCCCGUGGCCCCAGUCUUAGCAAGGGAGAGAUGCACUGACCUUCUGCCAGGUAUAGAACUAUUGAAUGGUACAGUUUGAGAUCUUCGAAACCAUCAGGACUGAUCAUUUUCUGGCUACUUUCUACAUAGGAAUCCUAGAGUUCCUUGGAGAGGAUAUGAAGGUUAUUCUCAGGCCAUGCAGAUGGGCAAGAAAGGAUGUGCGUCCAUGGUUCCUCUUCAAAUCCAACCAAAACAGCCUUGCUUCCGUUGGCUUUAUAUAAUACUGCAACUCUUGAUAAUCUGAUUUAACACAAAUUUCCUCAUUGAGUUUCUCCUCAUGAAGAAACGGCCUCAGUGAGGUAAAUCGGAAUGCACAGGAGCACAUAGCAGGUUAGUGCAGACCAGAAAUCAAACCCAGGCUUUCUGACUGCUCAAUAGACCACAAUCUACCAUGCUACCAUGGAAACUUUAAAACAGAUGAAAGUAAAAACAAACAAACAACAACUUAAAAAAACAAAAACAAAAACAAAAGCAAAACCCAGAGCCUCUCUAGGAAAUACCAACGUGCUUUUGCCAAGUGGGGUUUCUCUCACUUCAUAAGAGCAGUAAACACUAAACCAAGGGAAUGUGAAUUUAGAGGUUAGAAAAGAUAACCAGAGAUUUGGCCGUGCGUGGGGCUCAUGCCUGUAAUCCCAGCACUUUGGGAGGCUGAGGCUGGUGGGUUGCCUGAGGUCAGGAGUUUGAGACCAGCCUGGCCAACAUAGUGAAACCCUGUCUCUACUAAAAAUACAAAAAUUAGCUGGGUGUGGUGGCGUGCACCUGUAAUCCCAGCUACUAGGGAGGCUGAGGCAGGAGAAUCGCUUGAACUGGAGAGGUGGAGGUUGCAGUGAGCCGAGAUGGUGCCAUUGCACUCCAGCCCGGGCAAGAAGAUUGAAAUUCCAUCUCAAAAAAAAAAAAAAAAGAAGAAGAAGAAGAAAAGAUGCCAGAGAUUUGGCGGGGUGCCGGGCUCAUGCCUGUAAUCCCAGCACUUUGGGAGGCCAAAUGGACAGAUCACUUAAAGUUAGGAGUUCCAGAAAAGAUGCCAGAGGUUGGGCCUUUACAUUGUUUUGUAAAUUCGUCAAACCUUAAUCUUAUUUAACUUCCCCACCUAUACAAAAAUUAAUGCAGUAAUUGCUUUUUAAGGAAGCAUUCCAAAGGCCAAAUAAUUCAUAUAUGUCAAGUACCCUGGGAUUCAGGAAAGAAAAAUUCUCUAUAGCUCUAAAGCAAGGAUUAUAAUUUGAGGUUUCCUGACAGUUUUUUUUAAGAAAAGAAAUACCAACCUUUCUUUUCUGGGCCAAAUGCCAAGGUAGGUAAUAACCCCUUGCCCAUUUUCUUUCCCCAAGCUGUUUUAACUAGAUAAGAGCUCUGCCUUCAUUUCCUUUUGUGAACUGACUUGGGAUGUUGCCACAUGCCCUUCAACUACUGUCAAUGCUCUAGUUUGCUGAGUGCUUUCCCCUUCAGAAUGGAAAAGGUUUUGGCAUAAAUAUCUAGCUUUCUUCAAGGUACAAAAUGCUUUCCAAGGAGCAGAGGACAGAGGGAACAAACUUUCAUGUUUCCCAAUUGUAUUAGUCUGUUCUCAUGCUGCUAAUAAAGACAUACCCAAGACUGUGUAAUUUAUAAAGGAAAAAGGUUUUACUGACUCACAGUUCCACAUGGCUGGGGAGGCCUCACAAUCAUGGUGGAAGAUGAAGGAAGAGCAAAGGGAUGUCUUCCAUGGCCAGCAAAAAGAGAAUGAAAGCCAAGGGAAGGAGAAAACACCUUAUAAAAUCAUCAGAUCUCAUGAGACUUAUUCACUACCAUGACAACGGUAUGGGUGAACUGCCCCCAUGAUUCAGUUAUCUCCCACCGGGUCCCUCCCACAAAAUGUGGGAAUUAUGGGAGCUACAAUUCAAGAUGAGAUUUGGGUGGGGACAGAGCCAAACCAUAGCACCAAUACUAGAUCCCUCAGCUUCAAGGUGGCUCCAGUGAUCCUAAGAGGAUCAAGGAAGCCCUACCUCCCUGCUUGUCCUGGAUGUCUCUGACACAUGUUAAGGGAAAAGCAUUAAUAAAGUGCUCAAGAAACAAUUGUUCAAUAGGUCAGUCUUAUAGUCAAUACCUCAUCCCAUGCUCUGUCCCCUACUCUUUGAAAAACUGCCCAAAGAAACAAUGGAUCCACGGAGUCACAAAAACAGGGCAUCCAGUGACCCUCCCCAUCUUACCAGCAAUGUGACUUUCCCACAGUAUAACGACAGCAGUGCCCAGAGCCCAAUACAAGCAGGGCUCUACACUGAGACAGAGCUGAGUUCUAGUAGCAACUACCCUCCUUAUAGCAGUGUUAUUUUAGGCAAGUUUCUCAGCUUCUGGAAGGUUCUUUUCUCAGGCUUACAUACUUUUUACCCGAAAAGAUCUUGGAGUCGUCCAUAUCAGCACAAGCAAUCUACAUUAUUAGUUUUUUUAAUGGCUGCACAGCAUUCCAUGAUAUGGCUGUACCAUUACUUAACUAUCGAUGAACAUUUAGGCAGUUUCCAGUCUCUUUCUGCAGGAGCCAAUGCUGCAAUGUGGUGGGUCAUAACUUU
rnacentral:lncRNA from 1 species